UUUUUAAAGUCUGACCUGCCCACUGAAAUUAUUUAAAUGGCCGCAGUAUUCUAACUGUGCAAAGGUASCAUAAUCAUUAGUCUUUUAAUUGAAGGCUGGUAUGAACGGUUGGACRAGGUAUAAGCUGUUUCAUAUAAAUUUAUAAUAGAAUUUUAUAUUUUAGUCAAAAAGCUAAAAUUUUAUUAAAAGACGAGAAGACCSUAUAAAUCUUUAUACUUUGUGUUGUUUAAAUUUUUUAGAUUUAUUUUAUUUUUAUGACUUAAAGUAUUUUGUUGGGGUGAUAUUAAAAUUUGAUGAMCUUUWAWUUGUUUAAGAUCAUUAAUUUAUGAUUUAUUGAUCCAUUAGUAGUGAUUAUAAGAUUAAGUUACUUUAGGGAUAACAGCGUAAUUUUUUUGGAGAGUUCUUAUCGAUAAAAAAGUUUKSYACCUCGAUGUUGGAUWAAGAWAUAUUUUUAGGUGUAGCCGCUUAAAU
rnacentral:rRNA from 1 species